AUUGAACGCUAGCGGCAUGCCUAACACAUGCAAGUCGAACGAGUGGCGGACGGGUGAGUAAUAUAUGGGAACGUGCCUAGUGGCGGGGGAUAACUACUGGAAAGGGUGGCUAAUACCGCAUACUAUCGGAUGUGCCCAUAUGGGAUUAGCUAGUUGGUGGGGUAAAGGCUCACCUAGGCAACGAUCCCUAGCUGGUUUGAGAGGAUGACCAGCCACACUGGAACUGAGACACGGCCCAGACUCCUACGGGAGGCAGCAGUGGGGAAUAUUGUACAAUGGGGGAAAGCCUGAUGCAGCCAUGCCGCGUGUAUGAAGAAGGCCUUCGGGUUGUAAAGUACUUUUAGCGGGGAGGCGUUAUCUGCAGAAGAAGCACCGGCUAACUCCGUGCCAGCAGCCGCGGUAAUAC
rnacentral:rRNA from 1 species